UGCAAAAUGUGGUGACUCCCC
rnacentral:piRNA from 1 species